rnacentral:rRNA from 1 species
AGUGAACGUUGGCGGCGUGGAUUAGGCAUGCAAGUCGAGCGAGAACCGUAGCAAUACGGGGACAGCGGCGAAAGGGACAGUAAUGUGUAGGUACCUACCUCCGGGUUCGGGAUAGCUGCGGGAAACUGCAGGUAAUACCGAAUAACGUCUCCGGACCAAAGGUGUGAUUCCACCUGGAGAGGGGCCUGCAUCCUAUUAGCUAGUUGGGGAGGUAACGGCUCACCAAGGCGACGAUGGGUAGCGGGUGUGAGAGCACGGCCCGCGUCAUUGGGACUGAGACACUGCCCAGACACCUACGGGUGGCUGCAGGCGAGGAUCUUCGGCAAGGGGCGCAAGCCUGACCGAGCGACGCCGCGUGCAGGAUGAAGGCCUUCGGGUUGUAAACCGCUGUCGUAGAGGAGGAAAUGCAGGGGGGUUCUCCCCUCUGUUUGACCUAUUCUAGGAGGAAGGACGGGCUAAGUUCGUGCCAGCAGCCGCGGUAA